rnacentral:rRNA from 1 species
UUUCCUACGGGGGGCUGCAGUGGGGAAUCUUGCACAAUGGGGGAAACCCUGAUGCAGCGACGCCGCGUGAGCGAUGAAGCCUUUCGGGGUGUAAAGCUCUUACGCCAGGGACGAUAAUGACGGUACCUGGAGAAGCAGCUGCGGCUAACUACGUGCCAGCAGCCGCGGUAAUACGUAGGCAGCAAGCGUUGUUCGGAAUUACUGGGCGUAAAGGGUGCGUAGGCGGUGUACUAAGUUUGGUGUGAAAUCUCCCGGCUCAACUGGGAGGGUGCGCCGAAAACUGGGACACUCGAGUGUGGGAGAGGAAAGCGGAAUUCCUGGUGUAGCGGUGAAAUGCGUAGAGAUCAGGAGGAACACCUGCGGUGUAGACGGCUUUCUGGACCAUAACUGACGCUGAGGCACGAAAGCGUGGGUAGCAAACAGGAUUAGAUACCCGAGUAGUC